AUGAACGCUGGCGGCGUGCCUAAUACAUGCAAGUCGAACGCUUCACUUCGGUGAAGAGUGGCGAACGGGUGAGUAAUACAUAAGUAACCUGGCCUUUACAGGGGGAUAACUAUUGGAAACGAUAGCUAAGACCGCAUAGGUGUGUCCAUCGCAUGAGGGACAUAUGAAAUAUGCUACGGCAUAGGUAGAGGAUGGACUUAUGGCGCAUUAGCUAGUUGGAGGGGUAACGGCCCACCAAGGCGACGAUGCGUAGCCGACCUGAGAGGGUGACCGGCCACACUGGGACUGAGACACGGCCCAGACUCCUACGGGAGGCAGCAGUAGGGAAUUUUCGGCAAUGGGGGAAACCCUGACCGAGCAACGCCGCGUGAAGGAAGAAGUAAUUCGUUAUGUAAACUUCUGUCAUAGAGGAAGAACGGUGCGUGUAGGGAAUGACAUGCAAGUGACGGUACUCUAUAAGAAAGCCACGGCUAACUACGUGCCAGCAGCCGCGGUAAUACGUAGGUGGCGAGCGUUAUCCGGAAUUAUUGGGCGUAAAGAGGGAGCAGGCGGCACUAAGGGUCUGUGGUGAAAGAUCGAAGCUUAACUUCGGUAAGCCAUGGAAACCGUAGAGCUAAAGUGUGUGAGAGCAUCGUGGAAUUCCAUGUGUAGCGGUGAAAUGCGUAGAUAUAUGGAGGAACACCAGUGGCGAAGGCGACGAUCUGGCGCAUAACUGACGCUCAGUCCCGAAAGCGUGGGGAGCAAAUAGGAUUAGAUACCCUAGUAGUCCACGCCGUAAACGAUGAGUACUAAGUGUUGGGAGUCAAAUCUCAGUGCUGCAGUUAACGCAAUAAGUACUCCGCCUGAGUAGUACGUUCGCAAGAAUGAAACUCAAAGGAAUUGACGGGGGCCCGCACAAGCGGAGGAACAUGUGGUUUAAUUCGAUGAUACGCGAGGAACCUUACCCGGGCUCAAACGACAGGGGAAUAAUCCCGAAAAGGAUUAGCCAGCAAUGGUCGCUGUCGAGGUGCUGCAUGGUUGUCGUCAGCUCGUGUCGUGAGAUGUUGGGUUAAGUCCCGCAACGAGCGCAACCCCUGUUGCCAGUUGCCAGCAUUAAGUUGGGGACUCUGGCGAGACUGCCGGUGACAAGCCGGAGGAAGGCGGGGAUGACGUCAAAUCAUCAUGCCCCUUAUGACCUGGGCUACACACGUGCUACAAUGGACAGAGCAGAGGGAAGCGAAGCCGCGAGGUGGAGCGAAACCCAGAAAACUGUUCUCAGUUCGGACUGCAGUCUGCAACUCGACUGCACGAAGUUGGAAUCGCUAGUAAUCGCGAAUCAGCAUGUCGCGGUGAAUACGUUCUCGGGCCUUGUACACACCGCCCGUCACACCAUGAGAGUCGGUAACACCCGAAGCCGGUGGCCUAACCGCAAGGAAGGAGCUGUCUAAGGUGGGACUGAUGAUUGGGGUG
rnacentral:rRNA from 1 species